GUGCCCUUUGAAGGUUGACCUGUGCCUUAAGGGGUUAACACAGAAGGGAAAAGGAAAUCUAAAUAAAACAACAAAACAAAACAAAACAAACAAACAAACAAAAAACCCCAGAGAUGAGAUGGUAAAACUCCUCAUUGGAUCCUGUCUGGAGUUACAGCU